rnacentral:rRNA from 1 species
CGCGGUAUUUUGACUGUGCGAAGGUAGCAUAAUCAUUUGUCUUUUAAUUGAAGACUUGUAUGAAUGGCUGAACGAGAAAAUAACUGUCUCUUUAAAAAAUCUUGAAUUUUACUUUUAAGUGAAAAGGCUUAAAUAAUUUUAAAGGACGAUAAGACCCUAUAAAUCUUUAUAUUAUUUUUCUUUAACUUUCAAAUUAUAUAUUAAAUGAAACAAAAGAAAAAAAUAUUAUAUUGGGGAGAUAAAAAUAUAAUUUUUAACUGUUUUAUAUAUAAAACAAUAAUUUUUGAUUUAUUAAAAAUUGAUCCUUUUUAAAGAUUUUAAGAUUAAGUUACUUUAGGGAUAACAGCGUAAUUUUUUUUUGAGAGUUCUUAUCGAAAAAAAAGUUUGCGACCUCGAUGUUGAAUUAAAAUUAUCCUUAUAAGUGCAGAAGCUAUAAAGGAAAGUCUGUUCGACUUUUAAAAUUUUACAU